CAAUAGCGUAUAUUAAAGUUGUUGCAGUUAAAAAGCUCGUAGUUGGAUAAUAAACAUUCGAAUGUUAUACAACCUUAGUUGGUUUGUAGUAAUGUCGAUGUUAUCUUUCAACGCUACGAUCAUUUUACAUGGUUGUUGAGUUGAUCUUUCACUUUGAGUAAAUUAGAGUGUUUCAAGCAGGUGUACGCUUUGAAUACUCCAGCAUGGAAUAAUAAAAUUAGACUUUGGUCUAGUUUUAUUGGUUUACUGACCAAGUAAUGAUUAAUAGGAACAGUUGGGGGCAUUCGUAUUCAACAGUCAGAGGUGAAAUUCUUAGAUUUGUUGAAGACGAACAAAUGCGAAAGCAUUUGCCAAGGAUGUUUUCAUUAAU
rnacentral:rRNA from 1 species